rnacentral:rRNA from 1 species
UACGUAGGGCGCAAGCGUUGUCCGGAAUUAUUGGGCGUAAAGAGCUCGUAGGCGGUCUGUCGCGUCGGCUGUGAAAUCCCGUGGCUCAACUGCGGGUCUGCAGCCGAUACGGGCAGGCUAGAGUUCGGUAGGGGAGACUGGAAUUCCUGGUGUAGCGGUGAAAUGCGCAGAUAUCAGGAGGAACACCGGUGGCGAAGGCGGGUCUCUGGGCCGAUACUGACGCUGAGGAGCGAAAGCGUGGGGAGCGAACAGG